GAUGAACGCUGGCGGCGUGCCUAAUACAUGCAAGUCGAGCGAACAGACGAGGAGCUUGCUCCUCUGACGUUAUCGGCGGACGGGUGAGUAACACGUGGAUAACCUACCUAUAAGACUGGGAUAACUUCGGGAAACCGGAGCUAAUACCGGAUAAUAUAUUGAACCGCAUGGUUCAAUAGUGAAAGACGGUUUUGCUGUCACUUAUAGAUGAAUCCGCGCCGCAUUAGCUAGUUGGUAAGGUAACGGCUUACCAAGGCAACGAUGCGUAGCCGACCUGAGAGGGUGAUCGGCCACACUGGAACUGAGACACGGUCCAGACUCCUACGGGAGGCAGCAGUAGGGAAUCUUCCGCAAUGGGCGAAAGCCUGACGGAGCAACGCCGCGGGAGUGAUGAAGGUCUUCGGAUCGUAAAACUCUGUUAUUAGGGAAGAACAAAUGUGUAAGUAACUAUGCACGUCUUGACGGUACCUAAUCAGAAAGCCACGGCUAACUACGUG
rnacentral:rRNA from 1 species